rnacentral:misc_RNA from 1 species
CCCAACAAGUGGGGUGCAAGCCGUGAGGGGUUCUCGUCUGUAGUGGACGAAAGCCGGGUGCACGACAACAAGCAAAGCCAGACACACUAUUGGGUCCUGAGGCAACACUCGGGCUCUGUUCGAGAGUUGUCCCACCAUCUUGGUGGUGGGGUGUGGUGUUUGAGAAUUGGAUAGUGGUUGCGAGCAUCAAAUGGAUGCGUUGCCCUACGGGUAGCGUGUUCUUUUGUGCAAUUUUAUUCUUUGGUUUUUGUGUUUGUAAGUGUCUAAG